rnacentral:rRNA from 1 species
GACGAACGCUGGCGGCGUGCCUAACACAUGCAAGUCGAGCGGGGUUGAAGCGAGGGGUAACUCGAGUUUCUACCUAGCGGCGGACGGGUGAGUAACGCGUGGGCAACCUGCCUCAAGGACUGGGAUAACAGCUCGAAAGGGCUGCUAAUACCGGAUAAGCCUAUGGCCUCGCAUGGGGCCAUGAGCAAAGGGGAAACCCGCCUUGAGAUGGGCCCGCGUCCCAUCAGCUAGUUGGUGAGGUGAAGGCUCACCAAGGCGACGACGGGUAGCCGGCCUGAGAGGGUGACCGGCCACACUGGGACUGAGACACGGCCCAGACUCCUACGGGGGGCAGCAGUGGGGAAUCUUGCACAAUGGGCGAAAGCCUGAUGCAGCGACGCCGCGUGAGCGAAGAAGGCCUUCGGGUUGUAAACGUAGCUUUUGUUACGGAACGAAAAGACGUCUCUCUAAUACAGGGGUGAGUGACGGUACCGUAAGAAUAAGCACCGGCUAACUACGUAGCCAGCAGCCGUAC